AGCAGCCGCGGUAAUUCCAGCUCCAAUAGCGUAUAUUAAAGUUGUUGCAGUUAAAAGCUCGUAGUUGAAUUUCGGGGUCAGUAGGUCGGUCGUGCCACUGGUAUGAACUGGUUUUACUGAUUCCUCCCUCUUGAAGAACUGUAAUGCCAUUAAUUUGGUGUUGCAGGGAAUCAGGACUGUUACUUUGAAAAAAUUAGAGUGUUUAAAGCAGGCUUUAGCUUGAAUACAUUAGCAUGGAAUAAUGAAAUAGGACGUUUGAUCCUAUUUUGUUGGUUUCUAGGAUUGACGUAAUGAUUAAUAGGGAUAGUUGGGGGCAUUAGUAUUCAAUUGUCAGAGGUGAAAUUCUUGGAUUUAUUGAAGACUAACUACUGCGAAAGUCAUUUGCCAAGGAUGUUUUCAUUAAUCAAGAACGAAAGUUAGGGGAUCGAAGACGAUCAGAUACCGUCGUAGUCUUAACCAUAAACUAUGCCGACUAGGGAUCGGAUGAUGUUAAUUUUUUAAUGACUCAUUCGGCGCCUUA
rnacentral:rRNA from 1 species